rnacentral:lncRNA from 1 species
CCCUGUUACCUCCAGAGGAGUAAUUAGGUCAUUUAAAACACCUGCUUAUUACAUGUCUCUAUAAUUUUUUUUUUUAUUUUAAGACACUUUUUACUUUUUUUUUUUUUAACUUUUUUUUCUUGUUAUGAAUAUAUUUUUAAAGGACACAUUCACUGUAUAAAUACAUUUGUUUAUUGGGUACAAACAAUGCAAAUAUACCCUCAAAGAUUUCUUAAGGUACAGGUGUUUACGUCAAACUCAUUUUGGCCGAGGGCCACAUUGGCAUAUUGGCUGUCCUCUGAGGGCCAGAUGUAACUUAUAAAUGUAAGAAAAUGUAACCAAAUGUAAUAUAAAAUGAAUGUAAUUACUGUUAAAUAACUCUCAAUAUAUUAUUUAUUCAAUCAAAUAUUACAGUUGCAUGGAAAAAAUGUUUGCUUNUUUCUGUGUUUAACAGCACUCCUGUUCCUGUCUGUUCAUCUCUGUUGUGGAGGAGAUAAAGCCCCCAAGAAGAUUAAGCAAACUGCAAAGACGCCGAGUAAAGCUGAUUGGAAAAUUGGACGCACAGUUCUGCUGGCCGGUCCUCCUGCACGUUCAGCUGCUGUGGCGACAUCUAAAUCUAUAUUUGGAUCGGGAUAUGAAUCUGGACAUGGACCAACUGAUAAAGAUCUACGGGAUUCUAAAAAGAGCUUUCUUUCUUCUCGACGGUUAAGCGCAGGAAAGCUGAGCAAGAAAAAGGGUCGAAAAAACUGAAAGAUGAACCCAUCUGAUCAUCAGCAGUGAUUGAACUAAAAAAGUAAUGUAAAGAUUAAAAUGAGAUUUUCUGUAAGUCUGUCAGUAAUGAUUCUAAUAAAAUUAUUUUAAAACAAUAUGUUAUUGAGUUA